AUAGCACGCAGAUGGGAGCUUCGGUGCAUUUACCCCGGUGUCAUUCCCAAUGAUAGGAGGCGGGGGCGGGGCUGAGAAUGCUUUGAACACAGAUGCGGAGCGGCUCUUCUGCUCUGAGUGGAGCGCCAGUGGAACGAACAGCACCAUGACUGCGAACACAUACGACGUGAUUGUGAUUGGCGGAGGCAUUUCAGGUCAUAGGCCCAAGCAUGUUGCAGCUGCACAGCUGAGGUUAGAGAGCAAACUUUUAUUAUAAUACUACUAAAAAAAAAACUACCACAAAAUAU
rnacentral:lncRNA from 1 species